GGGUCCGUAGCUCAGCUGGGAGAGCGCCUGCCUUGCACGUAGGAGGUCGUCGGUUCGAUCCCGAUCGGAUCCA
rfam:Lasius niger Lnig_2.1_16138, whole genome shotgun sequence.